GAGGGGGCAACCCCUUGAGAGUGGCGAACGGGUGAGUAAUAUAUCGGAACGUGCCCAGUCGUGGGGGAUAACGUAGUGAAAAUUACGCUAAUACCGCAUACGAUCUAAGGAUGAAAGCGGGGGAUCGCAAGACCUCGCGCGACUGGAGCGGCCGAUAUCAGAUUAGGUAGUUGGUAGGGUAAAGGCCUACCAAGCCAACGAUCUGUAGCUGGUCUGAGAGGACGACCAGCCACACUGGAACUGAGACACGGUCCAGACUCGUACGGGAGGCAGCAGUGCGGAAUUUUGGACAAUGGGCGAAAGCCUGAUCCAGCCAUUCCGCGUGCAGGAUGAAGGCCCUCGGGUUGUAAACUGCUUUUGUACAGAACGAAAAGGUCUCUAUUAAUACUAGGGGCUCAUGACGGUACUGUAAGAAUAAGCACCGGCUAACUACGUGCCAGCAGCCGCGGUAAUACGUAGGGUGCAAGCGUUAAUCGGAAUUACUGGGCGUAAAGCGUGCGCAGGCGGUUAUAUAAGUCAGAUGUGAAAUCCCCGGGCUCAACCUGGGAACUGCAUUUGAGACUGUAUAGCUAGAGUACGGUAGAGGGGGAUGGAAUUCCGCGUGUAGCAGUGAAAUGCGUAGAUAUGCGGAGGAACACCGAUGGCGAAGG
rnacentral:rRNA from 1 species